rnacentral:rRNA from 1 species
GAUGACCGCUGGCGGCGUGCCUAAUACAUGCAAGUCGAGCGAAGCGGGGACGGGUGAGUAACACGUGGAUAACCUCCUAUAAGACUGGGAUAACUUCGGGAAACAGUAGCUAAACCGGAAACUUAUAGAUGGAUCCGCGCUGCAUUAGCUAGUUGGUAAGGUAACGGCUUACCAGGGCAACGAUGCAUAGCCUCACUGAGAGGGUGAUCGGCCACACUGGAACUGAGACACGGUCCAGACUCCUACUGGAGGCAGCAGUAGGGAAUCUGUCGCAAUGGGCGAAAGCCUGACGGAGAAACGCCGCGUGAGUGAUGAAGGUCUUCGGAUCGUAAAACUCUGUUAUUAGGGAAGCGGUACCUAAUCAGAAAGCCACGGCGAACUACGUGCCAGCAGCCGCGGUAAUUC